UGUAUAUUUUCACGUUUGGAAGAGACGCCUGCGUUCAACGAACCAUAAAAAGCCAAUCGCCACUCCCGCCGGUGCCACCCAGUCUCUGCUCUGGUUUUGGACUGUCGUGCGGCUCCGCCUUCUUCUCCAACCUUCACCCGACUUCUUGAGCCCACUGCUCGACCAUCAGUAACCAUUAUGUAAACACCCCUUGGCGCCGCUCGUCCACGAGCUACCGAUCCCUAUGGCCUGCCCACCAACCGGUGCCUUCCCUCCACAAUGUUCCACCCCGCCAGUGGCAUGGUUGUCCACUUGCCUCAGAUCAGCGCCUACACAAUCGCUCCUACACAUCAGUGCAUGUGCUUCCGCCUUCUUGUCCGAUCAGCCACCUGACCGCCGUCCUCCUCGCCUUUCGCCGCCGACAUUGCCACUGCCAUGGCCCUCUGCUUCCCUCAGAAACCGCGCCUAACCAUACAUCGCCACAAUGCCAGGGUUGGCUGUCUGUCCUAAUAUCCAGCCUUUACGCCGCCUCACAAGCGCGCCUGUUCUUGAAUUGUGCCAUUCAAUCAAAUUUUGCAUCAACCAAAAUGAUCCUCGGUUUGUAACAAGCCCCUUUUUUUAGCAAUCGUAUGAAUGAGAAAAGGCUUGCGUUGUUGGCCCUGUGUGUGGACAAGAUCAAAUUCAUGGGCUCUCCAAAGGUACGGGCUGCAGUAUUAUUAAGAGUGCAGGUUUGUUUCCUAUGCACUUUCUUUUAUCUCAUCAUAGCACAUGCAUGAAAUUUGGGCUUUUUGUUACCCUGACUUUCAGUUUCAUUUACAAGGGCAUUUUCAUGAAAUAUGGUCCCAAGCUUCUUUGCAGGUUACUCUUAUGUAACUCUAUGUUACAUGUUAUAAUGACUUUAGUUACAGGACUGUGUUUGAUAUUAUUUCAUAUUAUUGGUGAUAUAUGUUAGAUUGCUAGCUGGUUUCAAAAAUAUACCCAACAAUUCUAGAGUGCUUUUCUAUCUCUCAAGAGUCAUUUUACAUGUCAAUUUUUUGAUAGGGAUAAGCCUUAUGUGUGGAACUGUGUAAAUUAAACUUUUGAAAUGUGUUGAUUGUUAUGUAAUGUGCCCGAGGCUCCUCUUGUUCGAUCAUAUAAUUCUUAGUUUUUCAGGAUACCAGAUCUUGAGCCCCUGAGUAAUGAUAUCAGCCACUUACAUUCUCUUGCCAUCUCUGGUGUAGCUACACUGAGGAUGAAUUGUCUCGUGCUUCUUUGCUUAGGAAUAUACACAGCUUUCUUAAUGAAAGUGCAAGUCAUUGCUUAACUAUCAAAUGAUUCUCUUAAUAAGGUAAAGAACGAAUGUGAAGUACUUUAUUUUCUCCUUAACAUAUAUUUGAUUUAACGUGGUUCUGCAACUUUUUUGUUUCAAAUUUGUUUGUGUUUUCUGUUGCAGUUUCAUAUGAUCUUCUUGUGCUGCUUUUGGUGUAAUUUAUUUCCUAUUUUAGGGUCCAAAGUUGAUAUUUAUAUAUAAGUGUGGAAGUUGCAUGUGCCAAGCAGAAUGCAGAGCUUGAAGGGAGAAAUUAUGUUGGACCUCUAGAUGGACGAAAAUUCCGGAGCAGGCAGGAUGCUCUUUGUUGAUGUAGAACGAAAAACUAACUUUUAAAAUCGAUGAUGUAAAUAGAUGGAAGUCAUAAACCUGAGGUUAAUAAGUGUUUGCCAAAGAAACUGGAAACAACCUGCUUAAGGUGAUUUUAACUUAACUAGCUGUUUUUUAGCAUACCUAGAGAUGGUUGCGUUAUAGGAAAGAUGAGAAUAGUGACAAUAGUCCUGCUUGUUUAGAAGUUGUAUUGCACUUGAAGUGACUUCUUGUUUCUUUUAGUAUGCUCGAGGUUAAGAUCAAGACAGGUGCUUCUGUUUAUACUGAACGAUCAUUAUUCGUGUCCUUGUUUUUAUCUUGUUGGCAACCCUCAUUACAGAUUGGAAGCCGAUGUGGCCAUUGAAAGGAUACCAAAUAUAAAUCCCUGAAUUAUACUAAAUGUGAGCAUAAGUGGAGGGAUAGAGGGGAAUAGUGAGCUCAGGGUGGAAGACUUGAUUGAUAGGUCAAGUUUGAGCUGGGAUUUGGUCUGUUUGUAGGGAAAGAUAACAGAAAAAGAAAAGCAAGUAAUCCAAAGCAAUCCUAUUGCAGCAAGCGGAAAACAAGAUAGAUUGGUAUGGCCUCAUACUAAGAAUGGGGAGGUAUCUGUUAAGUCGGUCUACGCUUUCUUGAGAGACAAAGAAAAGAGGGUAACUCUACAUAGACCAUCUUCUUCUCACCAGGUGGAUGGGAGAACUUGGAACCUGAUAUGGGAUAUUGAUUGCCCUCCGAAGGUUAAAAAUUUCUUUUGGAGGUGUUGUCCUAAUUUGUUCCUACUAUGAGGAAUCUUCACAGGAGAAAGGUGACUAUUGAGUGAAAGGAGUGUUUGUAUUUGGUGUGGCAUGCUUGGACUGAGGAUUAAUAGAAGUGGGGUGUCAUCUAUUGAUAGAUAGCUACUGGGUUUUUUUUAAACGAAUAGGCUGAGGGGGCAUGAUUUAGUGAAAUUCAGAAGAGCAAUUGCCUAUACUUGUUGAUACAACUGGAAAGGCAGAUGCCAAGUAAUGUAUGAAAAAAGAGGCCCCUCCCUUUUAAUGUUACGCAUAGGCCCAAAGAUGUAUUGGGGGAAUAUGACAGAGUACUAGAUGCAACUUAAAAGAAGACAGGAGGUAAGAGCGGUGAAGUAAAAGGAGCUGAAUUGGGGAAGAAAUAGAGGAACUUUCUGUGCAGGUAUUGGUGUGGUGGUUUGUGAUUGCGAUUGGUACCGUAAUGGAUGGAACUGGGCACAAGAUUCGGGUUGUUCUAAUCUGAUUGUUGAGGCAGUGGCAAUGAAAGUGGAUUAAGGUCGUUGCUGACAAAGGGUGGUGUUAUGCUAUUGUGGGAAUAGAUUCUAAGGUUCUGUUUGAUUGUCCAUCAAAAGAGGAUACAAACACCCCUUAGAAGGUCAGCUCAGUAGCAGAAGACAUAGAGGAGAUCAAAACAAGUCUGGAUGGUGUUCUUUUCAGCCUUGUUCGACGGGAAGCCAACAGCAUUGCUGAUUACGUGGUAAGACAGGGUGAAAAGGAGAUGUGUCCAUCGAAUUAGGUGAUUGUACCCCCAUCUCCUUCGUGUACUUAGUGAUUUUUGGAAUGGAAGUAGCUUUCUUGUAAACAGUACUGUGAACAUGGAUUACGGUUGAUAUCAAUAAAGUGGAUGAAAUGUAUAAUAAAAAAAAUGUACGAAAUUUGGCUUUUUUAGCUUUUCAAAAUACUUGAUUGGCCAUUGAAUUGAAUAUUUGGAGAGUGAUAAGAAUUGGAAUUGGCUUAUUACAGCCCAGCACAUAUUGCUUAAUUUAAGAGCGACAUUCUUUA